AACUGGAGAAUGCACCAGCCCCCACCUCCUCUGCUGCUGUUGGCAAACAGCAAGGGGGAAUAAAAAACAGGAAAAAGAAAAACAAAUAAAUGUAUAAGUCCUCCAUAUGUGUGCACU
rnacentral:ribozyme from 1 species